GUUUUACAUAAGUACAAAUAUGAGAUACAAAACAAUUAUUACAUAGGAAGAAAAUCAAUAGUUACAUGCAUGAUUUACUAUUUUAAUUAUGUCUAUGUGUUUGUAUUCAGUAGCUGUAUGCAGGGCCACAGCAAAGUGGCAAAAAGACAUCCACUUGGACACAUGUAAAGUGCAGUGUCAUGAUAUCAUAAAACCCAAGUGUCAUUAUUUAGGUUUCAAAUCCCUCUG